rnacentral:misc_RNA from 1 species
GCUCUUGCUUCCUCAUAAUUCAAAAUGCCACUCUCACGAAGAGAUGAUUCUGCUUCUUCUAUGUUACUGGUGUCUGCCUUGGCGUCAUCGCCAGCUCGUGAAGAAUACCCACUAGCUGAAUAGUCCCGAGUUGCAAGAGACUCGGAUGAUGGAAUAAUAUCUUCAAUCCUUAACUGUUCCCCUGAGCAAAUGCACUUCAUCAUCUUCCGCAAUCUAAGGCUUAAACUAAUUUUCUGCUUGUAAACCCAAUACUUAACACUCAUUCUUUCUCAUUACCCUUUUGAUUGGUAAAAAGCAUUGACUGAGCUGAGCCCACAAGCCUCCACUACCCAUUUCUUCCAAAGAUUAAAGCUUUUUGGGUUGAUUUUCUUGACUGAG